rnacentral:rRNA from 1 species
GGUGAGUAACACGUGGGUAACCUGCCUGUAAGACUGGGAUAACUCCGGGAAACCGGGGCUAAUACUGGAUGGUUGUUUGAACCGCAUGGUUCAAACAUAAAAGGUGGCUUCGGCUACCACUUACAGAUGGACCCGCGGCGCAUUAGCUAGUUGGUGAGGUAACGGCUCACCAAGGCGACGAUGCGUAGCCGACCUGAGAGGGUGAUCGGCCACACUGGGACUGAGACACGGCCCAGACUCCUACGGGAGGCAGCAGUAGGGAAUCUUCCGCAAUGGACGAAAGUCUGACGGAGCAACGCCGCGUGAGUGAUGAAGGUUUUCGGAUCGUAAAGCUCUGUUGUUAGGGAAGAACAAGUACCGUUCGAAUAGGGCGGUACCUUGACGGUACCUAACCAGAAAGCCACGGCUAACUACGUGCCAGCAGCCGCGGUAAUACGUAGGUGGCAAGCGUUGUCCGGAAUUAUUGGGCGUAAAGGGCUCGCAGGCGGUUUCUUAAGUCUGAUGUGAAAGCCCCCGGCUCAACCGGGGAGGGUCAUUGNAAACUGGGGAACUUGAGUGCANAAGANGANAGUGGAAUUCCACGUGUANCGGUGAAAUGCGUANNGAUGUGGAGGAACACCAGUGGCGANNGCNACUCUCUGGUCUGUAACUGACGCUGANGANCGAAAGCGUGGGGAGCGAACAGGAUUANAUACCNUGGUAGUCCACGCC